AUUCUCAGGACGGUCAAAGAGGUCAAAAAGAAGGGGGAAGAGUUACACUAGUGAGAAAUUACAUGUUUUGGCAUGGGAUAUCUCUCUAACAAAUAAUCCAAGAGACUUUCUAGCUUGGGUGAAUGGAGGAGGCUUUACUGCUGUUACUGCUCCGCAGGUUUCAUUUCUCUUGGUCACUUCUUCCAUGCAAUUUACCUUUACCCUUUGCUUCUCCUAGCCUGUGGUAAUCAGACUUGCAGAGUAGAGCGAGAGCUAGAACAAAUGUCUUCUUGGUUCCCAUGCCCGGUGGGCGUGUUGAGCUGUUCGUUUCAGAGCACGUAAAGUGUUUCCUAACUUCCUCCUCGAUCAAUCUGUUGAGAGCUCACACACCAUCCGAAUGACCAAAUUCUGUUCAUUCUUUAAAGAACACUCUUAUGUUCUAAAGAGAUUUAAAUAUGCUUUGCAUGUCUCGCACUCACUGAGGCAAAUCUUCUGCACAGAUGACGGAUGGCCAACGCACCCGAGAGUUCAUGAUGUCCCAGUGCACCUCGGACUCCUACGAUCGCUCCAUCGACAUACCCAUGGCUGAUAACAAUAUGGACUCGGGUGCUGUUGGUGGUGAUGAUUCCCAGCCAUGGCUUGCCCCGCAGGCUAUGGCGACGGGCGCUCAAGCUCUUCCCUGGGAUCUCUACGCCUCCCACUUGAACUUGUUCGACAGGACGAAGGAUGACGACGUCCUGCACGAUGGCUCUACCAGAAACUUCUUCCUUCUCGGCAAUCUUCCACCUCCGCUGUCGGAGUCCAUGGUCGCUAAUGGCU